AUUGAACGCUGGCGGCAGGCCUAACACAUGCAAGUCGAACGGUAACAUAAAAGAAAGCUUGCUUCUUUGAUGACGAGUGGCGGACGGGUGAGUAAUGCUUGGGAAUCUAGCUUAUGGAGGGGGAUAACUACGGGAAACUGUAGCUAAUACCGCGUAAUAUCGAAAGAUUAAAGUGUGGGACCUUCGGGCCACAUGCCAUAGGAUGAGCCCAAGUGGGAUUAGGUAGUUGGUGAGGUAAAGGCUCACCAAGCCGACGAUCUCUAGCUGGUCUGAGAGGAUGACCAGCCACACUGGGACUGAGACACGGCCCAGACUCCUACGGGAGGCAGCAGUGGGGAAUAUUGCGCAAUGGGGGCAGCCCUGACGCAGCCAUGCCGCGUGAAUGAAGAAGGCCUUCGGGUUGUAAAGUUCUUUCGGUAGCGAGGAAGGCAUUUAGUUUAAUAGACUAGGUGAUUGACGUUAACUACAGAAGAAGCACCGGCUAACUCCGUGCCAGCAGCCGCGGUAAUACGGAGGGUGCGAGCGUUAAUCGGAAUAACUGGGCGUAAAGGGCACGCAGGCGGUGACUUAAGUGAGGUGUGAAAGCCCCGGGCUUAACCUGGGAAUUGCAUUUCAUACUGGGUCGCUAGAGUACUUUAGGGAGGGGUAGAAUUCCACGUGUAGCGGUGAAAUGCGUAGAGAUGUGGAGGAAUACCGAAGGCGAAGGCAGCCCCUUGGGAAUGUACUGACGCUCAUGUGCGAAAGCGUGGGGAGCAAACAGG
rnacentral:rRNA from 1 species